GACGAACGCUGGCGGCAUGCCUAACACAUGCAAGUCGAACGCUAAACCAUCUUCGGAUGGCAGAGAGUGGCGGACGGGUGAGUAACACGUGGGAACCUGCCUUGGGGUACGGAAUAACAUCGGGAAACCGGUGCUAAUACCGUAUACGCCUUACGAGGGAAAGAUUUAUCGCCCCUAGAUGGGCCCGCGCUAGAUUAGGUAGUUGGUAGGGUAAAGGCCUACCAAGCCUACGAUCUAUAGCUGGUUUGAGAGGAUGAUCAGCCACACUGGGACUGAGACACGGCCCAG
rnacentral:rRNA from 1 species